AGGGAGACCUUACCCCCAUUAUCUUGAACGCCUAGUGCGAGUCGAGAGAUGGCUGGUCAUCUCAAGGUCGGUCGAAGAUUAAGUGUGGCUUCUAAACUAUCAAGGUUCGGGUUAUGGGCUAUUAGCUCAGGUGGUUAGAGCGCACCCCUGAUAAGGGUGAGGUCCCUGGUUCGAGUCCAGGAUGGCCCACCUUACGACAAGUUUGGGGGUUUAGCUCAGUUGGUAGAGCGCCUGCUUUGCAAGCAGGAUGUCAGCGGUUCGAGUCCGCUAACCUCCACUGAGGAGAUUUCAGCAACAGUUUUAGUUUAGUGAAUCUAAACUGCCUGCUGGAAGUAAUUCCAGUAAGAACCAUGAAAACUGCAUAGUGAUAAGCAAUUAAGUCAGGUAGAAGUUCAUUUUUAAUGCGUCUUCUUUGUUGAAGCGAUGAAAUGAACCUUCAUAGACACCAAUGAUUUUGAAGUUAGUGGUCAAGCUAACAAGGGCAGAUGGUGGAUACCUAGGCACACAGAGA
rnacentral:tRNA from 1 species